rnacentral:misc_RNA from 1 species
UUCCAGCACUUGAAGAU